AUGCAAGGCAUUGAGCGACUCGCCUUCGACAUUCGCCAAAAUGAAGCAAGGAAAAGGGACUACAUCGACACCAAGUUGAACGAACAAAUGGAUCAAGUACGAGACAUGUUGGCCAACUACAAGUCUUCUUCCCCUUCGUCAUCUUCAAGGCGGCGACGCUCGAGUAGCAAAUCUUCGGAACGCCAUCGAGCUCAAGCACUACAACACCAUCAAGCUGAAGAUGCUCGACACACGCAAACCUACAAGUCCGAACAUGCUCUACUUCAUGCCAAGGAUAAGCUUCAUGAGCAAAAGAGAAGACCACGAGAAAAGCACCACCAAGAGGAAGCUCCGACUACCACGACUACUUCGGCAUCUUCGCCUUUGGACGUACGACAUCUUCGUCUACUUCCCACGAGUACAACUACAUCGAGAUCAUCAAGUCCAAGGCGACCACGUACAAGCGAGGGUGACACUCCCAUCUUCGGAAUCCCCUCAAGGAAGAUGAUCGAGCAUGGGAUUUUCCCUUCGGUCAUGGAGACGAGUGAUGAUGUGCCAUCUUCGGCCUUCAUCCACAACGAGGGUGAUGUUGUGCCAUCUUCGGCCUUUAUCCACAACGAGAUUGACGAUGUGCCAUCUUCGGCCUUCAUCCACGACGAGAGUGAUGAUGUGCUAUCUUCGGCCUUCAUCCAUGGCGACGACUACGAGACGGUUGAGCACAGAAUUUUUCCUUCGACCACGACGACAUAUGAUGACUUGAGUGACUUGUGCCACCGUAUUGAGAGUGCGAGUGACUUCACCACUAGCCCCAUAUAUGAUGAGUUGCCAAAAUUCCCAUGUGAGGAGAGCCACAACCCCCAUCACUUGAGUGAGAUGAGUGACUCCACCAUAUGUGACAUUGAGUGCACCUAUUUUGAGGGAGUGAGUGAACGACCACAUAGAGAGUGUGAUAGUUGA
rnacentral:rRNA from 1 species